rnacentral:tRNA from 1 species
GAGGUUAUAGCUCAAUGGUAGAGUGUGUGCCUAGCAUGCACGAGAUCCUGGGUUCAAUCCCCAGCACCUCCA